rnacentral:rRNA from 1 species
UACGUAGGGGCAAGCGUUGUCCGGAAUCAUUGGGCGUAAAGAGCGUGUAGGCGGUCCGGUAAGUCGGCUGUGAAAGUCCAGGGCUCAACCCUGGGAUGCCGGUCGAUACUGCCGGACUAGAGUUCGGAAGAGGCGAGUGGAAUUCCCGGUGUAGCGGUGAAAUGCGCAGAUAUCGGGAGGAACACCUAUGGCGAAGGCAGCUCGCUGGGACGUUACUGACGCUGAGACGCGAAAGCGUGGGGAGCAAACAGG